ACUGCAGCUGUCAUGAUGCUCCCGGGUUGGUUCCGACCGAUAUUUGAGUGACAAGCUCAUGGCUUUCGUAUACAGUCCACUAUAAUGAUUUCCGGGAUAUAUGGGGUAGUCCGCAAGAUGGUACCUUUCGUGUAGGAUUCCAGAGCGUUUAGAGCAGCUUGAGAAAAACUGCAUUUGGACAAGGACUGAAAUCCGAGAGCUCUUGCGAUGUAAACCAAGGCAUACCAAGAUACAUGAGUAAUUUCAAAUUAUUAAUAGGGAGACUUACGGCUUCGGCACCAUUCGACUAU